GAUAACAGGCUGAUGACUCUCAAGAGCUCUUAUCGACAGAAUCGUUUGGCACCUCGAUGUCGGCUCAUCACAUCCUGGGGUUGAAGAAGGUCCCAAGGGUUCGAUUGCUUGCCGAUUCAAGUGGUACGUGAGUUGGGUUUAGAACGUCGUGAGACAGUUC
rfam:Lupinus angustifolius cultivar Tanjil contig_2653, whole genome shotgun sequence.